rnacentral:rRNA from 1 species
AGUAAAAGUCGUAACAAGGUCUCCGUUGGUGAACCAGCGGAGGGAUCAUUACAGAGUUGCAAAACUCCCACAAACCAUCGCGAAUCUUACCCGUACGGUUGCCUCGGCGCUGGCGGUCCGGAAAGGCCCUCGGGCCCUCCCGGAUCCUCGGGUCUCCCGCUCGCGGGAGGCUGCCCGCCGGAGUGCCGAAACUAAACUCUUGAUAUUUUAUGUCUCUCUGAGUAAACUUUUAAAUAAGUCAAAACUUUCAACAACGGAUCUCUUGGUUCUGGCAUCGAUGAAGAACGCAGCGAAAUGCGAUAAGUAAUGUGAAUUGCAGAAUUCAGUGAAUCAUCGAAUCUUUGAACGCACAUUGCGCUCGCCAGUAUUCUGGCGAGCAUGCCUGUUCGAGCGUCAUUUCAACCAUCAAGCUCUGCUUGCGUUGGGGAUCCGCGGCUGCCCGCGGUCCCUCAAAAUCAGUGGCGGGCUCGCUAGUCACACCGAGCGUAGUAACUCUACAUCGCUAUGGUCGUGCGGCGGGUUCUUGCCGUAAAACCCCCCAUUUCUAAGGUUGACCUCGGAUCAGGUAGGAAUACCCGCUGAACUUAAGCAUAUCAAUAAGCGGAGGA